CUCGAGAGAUAUGUGGGUUGCUUCCAGUAUCUGGCUAUUAUGAAUAAGGAUGCUAUGAAUAUAGUGGAGGAUGUGUCUUUGUGGUAUGGUGGAGCAUCCUUCGGAUAUAUGCCUAGGAGUAGUAUAGCUGGGUCUUCAGGUAGAACUACUUCCAAUUUUCUGAGGAACCUUCAGAAUGAUUUCCAGAAUGGUUGUACCAGUUUGCAAUCCCACCAGCAAUAGAGGAGUGUUCCCCUUGCUCCACAUCCUCGCCAGCAUCUGCUGUCACCUGAGUUUUUGAUCUUAGCCAUUCUGAUUAGUGUAAGCUGGAAACUCAGGGUCAUUUUGAUUUGCAUUUACCUGAUGACUAAGGAUGUCGAACAUUUCUUUAAAUGCUUCUCAGACAUUAGAGAUUCCUCUGUUGAGAAUUCUCUGUUUAGCUCUGUAACCCAUUUUUAAUUGGGUUAUUUGGUUUGUUGGAGUCUAACUUCUUGAGUUCUUUAUAUAUUUUGGAUAUUAGACCUCUGUCGGAUGUAGGGUUAGUGAAGAUCUUUCCCCAAUCUGUAGGCUGCUGUUUUGACCCAUUGAUAGUGUUCUUUGCCAUACAGAAGCUUUAUAGUUUCAUGAGGUCCCAUUUAUCAAUUUUUGAUCUUAGAGCCUGAGUCAUUGGUUUUCUGUUCAGGAAAUUGUCUCCUGUAUCAGUGUGUUCAAGGUUAUUUCCCCCUUCUCUUCUAUUAGAUUUAGUGUGUUGGGUUUUAUGUUGAGGUCCUUUAUCUACUUGGACUUGAGUUUUGUGCAUGGUGAUAAAUAUGGCUCUAUUUACAUUCUUCUACAGGCAGACAUCCAAUAAGACCAGCACCAUUUGUUGAAGAUGCUUUCUUUUUUCCAUUGCAUGGGUUCGGCUUCUUUAUCAAAAAUCAAGUGUCCAUAGGUAUGUGGGUAUAUUUCUAGGUCUUCAAUAUGAUCCCACUGAUAAACUUGUCUGUCUCUGUACCAAUACCAUGCAGUUUUAAUCACUAUUGAUCUGUAGUACAUCUUGAGGUCAAGAAGGGUGAUACCUCCUGAAGUUCUUUUAUUGUUCAGUAUUGUUUUGGCUAUCCUGGGUUUAUUAUUUUUCCAUAUGAAGUUGAGAAUUGCUCUUUCAAGGUCUAUAAAAUUGUGUUGGAAUUUUGAUGGGCAUUGUGUUGAAUCUAUAUAUUGCUUUUGGUAAGAUGGCCAUUUUCACUACCAAACCAUAAGCAUGGGAGAUCUUUCCAUCUUGUGAUAUCUCUUCUUCAACUUCUUUCUUCAGGGACUUGAAGUUCUUGUCACACAGAUCUUUCACUUUCUUGACUAGAGUUACAUCAAGAUAUUUUAUAUCAUUUGUGGCUAUUGAGAAGGGUGUUAUUUCCCUAUUUUUUUCUCAGCUUGUUUAUUCUUUGUAUAAAUGAGGGCUACUGAUUUCUUAGAGUUAAUUUUGUAUCCAGCCACUUUGCUGAAGGUGUUUAUUAGCUGUAGGAGUUCUCUGGUAGAAUUUUGGGGUCGCUUUUGUAUAGUAUCUUAUCAUCUGCAAAUAGUGAUACAUUGACUUCUUCAUUUCCAAUUUGUGUUCCCUUGAUCUCCUUUAUAAAUUAUCUUAUUGCUCUAGCUAGAACUUUAAGUACUAUAUUGAACAUAUAGGGAGAGAGAGGGCAGCCUUAUAUUGUCCCUGAUUUUCAUAGAAUUGCUUUAAGUUUCUCUCCAUUUAGUUUGAUAUUGGCUAUUGGCUUGCCAUAUAUUGCUUUUAUUAUGUUUAGGUAUAUGCCUUGAAUUCCUGAUUGCUCUAAGACUUUUAGCAUGAAGGGAUAUUGGAUUUUGUCAAAGGCUGUUUCAGUAUCUAAUGAGAUGAUCAUGUAUUUUUUUCUUUCAAUUUGUUUAUAUAGUGGAUUACAUUGACGGAUUUUCAUCCCUGGGAUGAAGCCUACUUGAUCAUGGUGGAUGAUCUUAUUGAUGUAUUCUUGGAUGCAGUGUGCACCUCCUUCUCAUCCUGCUUGAUUUCGUCUUCACAAUGUUCCUUCAAGGUAAUUUUCUAGUCAUGUCUGAAAAGCACAGACCCUUUUCAGCCUUCUCUCUUUUUUUUUCAAUAUCUCCACUGGAGUUUUUGGAUGGAGCUGCACUGUUGUCCAAGCAGUCUCAUAAGCCUGAGCCAAAGGUUUGCAUGGCCCUCAUUCCCCAGAUGCUGAGAGCUGUGCUAAGCCUCCAACACCAAGCCUUCAAAUGUCUUCAGAGCUGUACUUGUUACAUUGUGUCUACUACUUAUUCCACCAUGUUUCUUGAGACAUAUAGUCUUAUUUAUGAGUAGGUGGUUUGCUAGUUGUUUAUUGUUAAUAGUUUGAUCAGAUUGAGUAUCUGCAGUUAUUGCUACCUACUGCAAAAAGAAGCUUCUGGCCAAACCUGAUCUGAACAUUAACCUAUGAGAACAAACACAGUUAUUUAUAAAGUAAUUUAACACAUAUGCCAUGUUCACUUAGGAAAACAACAUUGGUAGCUUCACCCCUAUGUCCUAUGACCUCUUCAGUCACAGGCUUUUUAACCAGAUUUACAGCACCUGACCUGAAUUCUCUCCUGUGGAGCCCACCUCAAAUCUAACCAGAAAGUGGUUAAUUAUACCCCAUAGACGUGGCACUCUUUUACCAGUGGCCUCAUCGUGCUUGGAUGUUGCAUAUGGGAUUUAUAGCCGAGUAAGAUUAUUGAUAACAAUUCUCCCUGAGUAGCCUGCACAAUUUCUUCUGGAACUCUAGCCUAACCUGCAGGGAAGAAGAUGCUCAGCCCUGUUCCAGUUUGACAGGGCUAUGUCUGCAAUCAAGGAAUGCUCCAUCUUCAGCAAUGGGGUCUUCUAGUUAUAAUGGGCAAGCAACAGCCAUGGCAAUUGUUGUGGAGGCUUCAGCUUGUAACGAAGAAGUCCAUCCCUAGCACUGGCAUUUUCAUUUACUAACCUGUUGCUUCUGGGAGCAGCUUUAUUUACCCAUUCCAAGUACCAAUAUCUAAACUUUAAAUUUGUUUUUAUUAUCAAAUAUGACAUUUCCUUAUGACUUUAAAAAACACAUUAUUAGUUUAUAUACCUCCACUCCAGCUUCAUUCUCCCUUGUGAUCUGAGUCUCUACUUUUAAAAAAAUCAUAUUUUAAGUCACAUGCCACUGUAUAGCCCUAUCUGGUAUAGAAACCACAAAGAUCCAACUGCUUUUACCCCCUGAGUGCUGGGAUUAAAAGUGUAUACUCCCUUACCUGGGCCAUUGGUUACUACUUUUAAAAUGGAAGAUUUAUAAUCACAUUUUAAAUUUUAUUCAUAGUAAUUUGUCUAGCUAAUUUUUAUAUUUUUGCAUUAAUUUUAGCAACUUUGAACUUAUUAGGAAGUAAUAUGUUAUAUUUAAUAAAUUUAAUAAAAUGUUAAAUUUAUGUUAAAUUUAAUAAAAUAGAUUUACAUUUAUAUUAAUUUUAAUUACAUCUAUUUCUGUGUUUCUAUCCUUCUAUGUGUGUUUUACCUUUUUAAAAAUAUUUCUUUUAUCUUUUGAGAUUAUAGUAUAAUCACAUUAUUUUCCCCUUCUCUUUCAUUCCUCCAAACCCUCCCAUAUACUUCUCUAUACUCUCUUUCAAAUUCAUGGUUUUUUUUCAUUAAUUGUUAUAUAGGUAGAUAUGUAUAUAAAUGUAUAUAUAUAGUCUUACAUACAUAACUACAACCUGCUCAGUCUGUAUAAUGUGCCUUGUGUGAUCUGUAUAAUGUGUCUGUAUAAUGUGCCUCAUAUGUGGCUUCUGAUUUUGUUUUAAAUGCAUUUUGAGGAUCACCGUUUCAUUGUCAGGUAGUUCCAUUUUAUGAUCAUCUUUUAUUAUUUAUUUCUAAUUUUAGUUUCUUAAGAGGCUAUGACUAAACAUACUUGCAUUCAUUCUAGACUGUGUUAAUAUAUUUCUAUGCAGCUAACACCAUGAUCAAAGUAUAAGUAACUAUAUAAUAAUUAAAUUUGUGGCCUUGUAAGGAUAAUGAUUACUGAGUUAAAGUUAUUCAUUUGAAUGGUAUAUGUUCUUGGGCGAGUUGUUCAAUGCUGUGUAUCUUAAUUUCUUCAUGUGUAAAAUGAAGCAAAAACUAAUAUCAAUCUUAGAAGGUUGUUGAAAGGCUUUAUUUAAUAAGAUAUGUGACGUGCUUAGAGCAGUAUCUGGUAGGCAGCAAGUGCUUAAUAAAUGCUUCACAUGAUAAUUUAGACAUGGAUUGUCUUCUUCAUGAAUCUUUCCUAUUUGAGAAUAUCUUUAUGCACCUUGACUUCUGAAGAGUACCUGACUAGACUUACUCUUUGGGGGCUACUAUCAUUCCACUCUUUCUUUGCCUCCAGGAUGAUCGGUGAUUGUCUAAUUGUUCACUUGUAUGUAUCUUUUGUAACAUUAUUAUUGAACUUACUAAUUUAGUAAUGAUACUUGGAAACAUUUAAACUUCUUACAGGAAUCUUCUCUAGAACUUUGUGUGCUCUUUACUCUUUAGCUACAUGGCUUUAUUUAGAGUUGGUGAAAUUUAAUUACUUUUGUCAGUUACUUCUGUAUCUUUUACUCAAUGUAGGAAUUCAUCAAUUUAUUGCACCCUUUAAAUCAAUUUUCCAACUAUUAUAAAAACAUUUUUCUUAAUAAUUUUCAUUAUUUUUACUUUUUUACUUAACUUGGCUGUAUACUCAUUUCUCAGUAAUGGAAUUUCUAUUUUAAUUUAGUCUGGCACAUAAAAUCAUGUUUUUUUUAAUCUCAGAAAUUAAAUUUUGCUUAAAUUAAUUCUUUUGCUUGUUACUGUUUGUGAUGGUUUGUACAUGCUUGGCCCAGGGAGUGGCACUAUUAGGAGGUAUGGCAUUGUUGGAAUAGGUGUGUCACUGUGGGGGUGGGCUAUCAGACUAACUUCCUAGCUGACUGGAAGUCAGUCUUCCACUAGCAGCCUUCAGGUGAAGACAUAGAACUCUCAGCUCUGCCUGCACCAUGCCUGCUUGCAUGCUGCCAUGUUCCUGUCUUGAUGAUAAUGGACUGAACCUCUAAACCUGUAAGCCAGCCCUGAUUAAAUGUUGUCCUUUAUAAGAAGAGUUGCCUUGGUCAUGGUGUCUGUUCACAGCAGUAAAACCCUAACUAUGAUACUACAUUUUAAGGUAAAAAUGAUGUAUGGCUCUUCCAAUACUCCUAAUUCAUAGGAAGAUAAUAUAAAUGCAUCUUCAUACAAAGAGCUGGGUAAUGAGCUGAACUAGGAGUUGAGCGAAAACAAUUUGGUACUACUCAUUUUUUUAUUAUUGUACAAAUAUUUGGCUUUAUGUACUAUUUUCUUAGACAUAUUCAGAGAGGCUGAAGUACCAGAUUAAAGGUGUUCAAAAAUGUUUUUAGACUUUUACCCAUAAAUGAUCUGUUCUCUUGAUCCCAAACCCUUCCAACCCUCCACAUUUUACAUAAGCACAGCAUCCCAUGUACCUUGGUGUUGUAGAUUCGUUAAUUUAGUUGUUUCUCAUAGGGAUUCAGCAAACUCAGGAGAAAUAAUGGAACAAGUACUCAGGUUGGGUACAGACUGAGGCUUGACUAAUAGAUGAUGUCAUUUUCAUCUCAGCAUAUUCUGUUUAUAUCCCCAAGGCCAGCCUUGGAGUAGUUAGAAAAAACGGAAGACUGCACAGUUAAUAACUAAGGGAGGGAUGACAUAUACAAUAAACUGUUAAACAGCAAUGUGUUUUUGGACUGAAACCUUGAAGAGCA
rnacentral:lncRNA from 1 species